rnacentral:rRNA from 1 species
GCUUGGGCUUCUUUGCUGACGAGUGGCGGACGGGUGAGUAAUGUCUGGGAAACUGCCUGAUGGAGGGGGAUAACUACUGGAAACGGUAGCUAAUACCGCAUAACGUCGCAAGACCAAAGAGGGGGACCUUCGGGCCUCUUGCCAUCGGAUGUGCCCAGAUGGGAUUAGCUAGUAGGUGGGGUAACGGCUCACCUAGGCGACGAUCCCUAGCUGGUCUGAGAGGAUGACCAGCCACACUGGAACUGAGACACGGUCCAGACUCCUACGGGAGGCAGCAGUGGGGAAUAUUGCACAAUGGGCGCAAGCCUGAUGCAGCCAUGCCGCGUGUAUGAAGAAGGCCUUCGGGUUGUAAAGUACUUUCAGCGGGGAGGAAGGGAGUAAAGUUAAUACCUUUGCUCAUUGACGUUACCCGCAGAAGAAGCACCGGCUAACUCCGUGCCAGCAGCCGCGGUAAUACGGAGGGUGCAAGCGUUAAUCGGAAUUACUGGGCGUAAAGCGCACGCAGGCGGUUUGUUAAGUCAGAUGUGAAAUCCC